AUUGAACGCUGGCGGCAGGCCUAACACAUGCAAGUCGAGCGGAUGAAGGGAGCUUGCUCCUGGAUUCAGCGGCGGACGGGUGAGUAAUGCCUAGGAAUCUGCCUGGUAGUGGGGGAUAACGUCCGGAGACGGGCGCUAAUACCGCAUACGUCCUGAGGGAGAAAGUGGGGGAUCUUCGGACCUCACGCUAUCAGAUGAGCCUAGGUCGGAUUAGCUAGUUGGUGGGGUAAAGGCCUACCAAGGCGACGAUCCGUAACUGGUCUGAGAGGAUGAUCAGUCACCCGGGAACUGAGACACGGUCCAGACUCCCAGGGGAGGCAGCAGUGGGGAAUUUUGGAAAAUGGGCGAAAGCCUGACCCAGCCAUGGCGGGGGUGUGAAGAAGGUCUGCGGAUUGUAAAGCACUUUAAGUUGGGGGGAAGGGCAGUAAGUUAAACCCUGGCUGUUUUGACGUUACCAACAAAAUAAGCCCCGGCUAACUUCGU
rnacentral:rRNA from 1 species